rnacentral:rRNA from 1 species
AAACUAACUAGGAUGCCUUCAGUAACGGCGAGCGAAGCAGGCAUAGCUCAAAUUUGUAAUCUGGCGCCUUUGGCGUCCGAGUUGUAUUUUCUAGAAGCGAGUUCGGCGACAGCUCCUACCCAAGUCCGUUGGAACGCGGCGUCAUGGAGGGUGAGAAUCCCGUGAAUGGUAGGAUGUCUGCUGCUAUGUGAACCGCCUUCGAAGAGUCGAGUUGUUUGGGAAUGCAGCUCUAAAUGGGAGGUAAAUUUCUUCUAAAGCUAAAUAUUGGCCAGAGACCGAUAGCGAACAAGUAGAGUGAUCGAAAGAUGAAAAGAACUUUGAAAAGAGAGUUAAACAGUACGUGAAAUUGUUGAAAGGGAAGCGCUUGAGAUCAGACUUCCUGUCUGGACUGUCCUUGCUUUCGCUUGGGUCAACAGUCCAGGCGUGGAGGCCAGCAUCAGUUUUGACGGCCGGAUAAAGGCCCUGGGAAGGUAGCUCCCCUCGGGGAGUGUUAUAGCCCAGGGUGUAAUACGGCCAGUUGGGACUGAGGACCGCGGCUCUGCCUAGGAUGCUGGCGUAAUGGUCUUAAGCGAC